AUUAUGAGAGAUGUGCCACUUUUAUGAAUAUAUCAAUGAGCAAAUUUGUGCAAAAAUAACCAUAGAAAUAUGUUUUCCGUGAGUUUGAUAAAUGGUUACAGGUUCUGGUUUCUCUAUAUAUGAAAUGCUUCUUGACCAUUUUGUAAAUGCAUCCUUGUGUUUUCUGUCUCUAUAAUCAAUUAUCUAUGUUAUCUGCUUCUCUGUCCAUAUGGAAUAUAUUGUGAUCGUUCUUCAUAAUCUGUCAUAUGUCUACAUAAUUCUUUGAUCACGUUGCUAAUUGCAUCUCCAAGCUUGAUUGCACAGGUUUGGCGUGUGGAUGGCCA
rnacentral:misc_RNA from 1 species